rnacentral:lncRNA from 1 species
AACUCAUAUUCUAGUCUCCUUUACUAAUCCAUUUAAUAUGGGCUUUCUGGAACCAAAAAAUAUCUUCUCUCAUGAAGAAAUCAUUGAGUUAAACUUUAAAGGUGCCUUUUAUAUAUUUUUGAAAUUGAUAGCUUCUACACUAAAGAGCUUUUUAAAUAUCCAAAAUCCUCUUUAGGAGUCAAUUUUUAGAUUGACUUAUGCAACCAAAAGUAUCUAUCUUCCAU